rnacentral:rRNA from 1 species
GGCUACACACGUGCUACAAUGGGUAGUACAGAGAGUCGCAAAGCCGUGAGGUGGAGCUAAUCUCAGAAAACUAUUCUUAGUUCGGAUUGUACUCUGCAACUCGAGUACAUGAAGUUGGAAUCGCUAGUAAUCGCGAAUCAGCAAUGUCGCGGUGAAUACGUUCUCGGGUCUUGUACACACCGCCCGUCACACCACGAGAGUUGGUUGCACCUGAAGUAGCAGGCCUAACCGUAAGGAGGGAUGCUCCGAGGGUGUGAUUAGCGAUUGGGGUGAAGUCGUAACAAGGUAUCUGUACGGGAACGU